rnacentral:rRNA from 1 species
UACGAAGGGGGCGAGCGUUGUUCGGAUUUACUGGGCGUAAGGGGCGCGUAGGCGGCGGGUCAAGUCGAGUGUGAAAUUUCGGAGCUUAACUCCGAAACUGCAUUCGAUACUGCGGUGCUUGAGGACUGGAGAGGAGACUGGAAUUCAUGGUGUAGCAGUGAAAUGCGUAGAGAUCAUGAGGAAGACCAGUGGCGAAGGCGGGUCUCUGGACAGUUCCUGACACUGAGGCACGAAGGCCAGGGGAGCAAACGGG